rnacentral:rRNA from 1 species
GUACACUCCUGCGGGAGGCAGCAGUGGGGAAUUUUGGACAAUGGGCGAAAGCCUGAUCCAGCAAUGCCGCGUGAGUGAAGAAGGCCUUCGGGUUGUAAAGCUCUUUUGUCAGGGAAGAAACGGUGAAAGCUAAUAUCUUUUGCUAAUGACGGUACCUGAAGAAUAAGCCCCGGCUAACUACGUGCCAGCAGCCGCGGUAAUACGUAGGGUGCAAGCGUUAAUCGGAAUUACUGGGCGUAAAGCGUGCGCAGGCGGUUUUGUAAGUCUGAUGUGAAAUCCCCGGGCUCAACCUGGGAAUUGCAUUGGAGACUGCAAGGCUAGAAUCUGGAAGAGGGGGGUAGAAUUCCACGUGUAGCAGUGAAAUGCGUAGAUAUGUGGAGGAACACCGAUGGCGAAGGCAGCCCCCUGGGUCAAGAUUGACGCUCAUGCACGAAAGCGUGGGGAGCAAACAGGAUUAGAUACCCUGGUAGUCCCA